ACGCACCUACCCAACCAAGGUGAAUAGCCCUCCGAAAGGAAGGAUUAAUACACCGUAAUAUGUAGAGAUGGCAUCAUUUUUAUAUUAAAGAUCGCAAGAUCGGUUUUGGAUGGGCGUGCGCCUGAUUAGGUAGUUGGUGAGGUAACGGCUCACCAAGCCUUCGAUCAGUAACUGGUGUGAGAGCACGACCAGUCACACGGGCACUGAGACACGGGCCCG
rnacentral:rRNA from 1 species